rnacentral:tRNA from 2 species
GGGCCCUUAGCUCAGCGGUAGAGCAGCGGACUCAUAAUCCGACGUGCGAUGGUUCGAAUCCAUCAGGGCCCA